CCCUUAGAUGUUCUGGGCUGCACGCGCGCUACACUGAAGCGUUCAACGAGUAUUCACCUUGCCCAGGAGGGUUGGGUAAUCUUUUGAAAACGCUUCGUGAUGGGGAUAGAUUAUUGCAAUUAUUAAUCUUCAACGAGGAAUUCCUAGUAAGCGCGAGUCAUCAGCUCGUGCUGAUUACGUCCCUGCCCUUUGUACACACCGCCCGUCGCUCCUACCGAUUGAAUGGUCCGGUGAAGCGUUCGGACCGUGGCCUUUGGACGGUUCGCCGUCUGUUGGCUGCGGGAAGUUCGUUAAACCUUAUCAUUUAGAGGAAGGAGAAGUCGUANCA
rnacentral:rRNA from 1 species